UAGACCACGCGCGCCACCGCACAUACUCCUCAGACAGGAUGUACACAUGUGCCGCCAGAAAAUAGUACGUGACAAGUUCGCAGCAUCUGGUGACAAGUGUUCGUAUUUGCACUUUUGGUCUAAUUUGCCGACUUUAUCUGCCCAGGUACAAGAUAUUAUAACCACCUUCAUUCUUACAACAUUUGUAUAAUAGCCCCAUUGGUAUACAGCAAUUACCGUACCGGAGCGGAUGAAUACAGAAUAUCCCGUCGCACACCGACCCAGCUUCAGUUGGAGAGGAAUGGCGGUGGUGUGAGCAACUCCUGAGAUGAACAUCAAACAACGUGGGUUAGCAUGGCGGACCAUCGGACACCAUCCCAUCUAGAACACCAACAGUCGGACACAUGAGACCUUACUAUGAUCGUUAGAAACAUCAGUUUCUGCAACAAAGCAAGCACAGCUUGCAAACUUGAGACAUUUAUCCCCUCCCGCAAUCUUUAUCUACAUAAAUUACGUUGUAUGUAAACAUUGUAAACAGAGCUGUCUGAUAGGUAUAUUGUUAGAGCUGUCCAGCCUCUUGGAAACCCAGACUUCGGGGACUGUGCCUCGGGCUCAGUGGGGGCUGGUGCACCUAAGAUACGGUCCGUGGAUAUAAAAGCCGUUUGUGAUUAACUCAGACAUGAAAAGAAAAAAAAAUUGAUGCCUGAA